AGAAAACCACAGACACUUACACAGAAGUAGGACACUGUUUUUGGGGUGUGUGUAACUGAAACAAAUGCGCAAAUAAAGAUGUGAAACAAUGCCGAGAACAUCGCUCCUGCUGCCGCUCUUGCUGACUUCGCUGCUGUGUUGCAGACCCUCCCGAGCUCGUCUGACUGUGAGUCCCAGC